UGUAGUCGAUGGAAAACAGGUUAAUAUUCCUGUACUUCUGGUUAUUGCGAUGGAGGGACGGAGAAGGCUAGGCCAGCUUGGCGUUGGUUGUCCAAGUUUAAGGUGGUAGGCUGGAAUCUUAGGUAAAUCCGGGAUUCUAAGGCCGAGAGCUGAUGACGAGUGUUCUUUUAGAACACGAAGUGGUUGAUGCCAUGCUUCCAAGAAAAGCUUCUAAGCUUCAGGUAACCAGGAACCGUACCCCAAACCGACACAGGUGGUUGGGUAGAGAAUACCAAGGCGCUUGAGAGAACUCGGGUGAAGGAACUAGGCAAAAUGGCACCGUAACUUCGGGAGAAGGUGCGCCGGUGAGGGUGAAGCAUUUACUGCGUAAGCCCAUGCCGGUCGAAGAUACCAGGCCGCUGCGACUGUUUAUUAAAAACACAGCACUCUGCAAACACGAAAGUGGACGUAUAGGGUGUGACGCCUGCCCGGUGCCGGAAGGUUAAUUGAUGGGGUUAGCUAACGCGAAGCUCUUGAUCGAAGCCCCGGUAAACGGCGGCCGUAACGAUAACGGUCCUAAGGUAGCGAAAUUCCUUGUCGGGUAAGUUCCGACCUGCACGAAUGGCGUAACGAUGGCGGCGCUGUCUCCACCCGAGACUCAGUGAAAUUGAAAUCGCUGUGAAGAUGCAGUGUAUCCGCGGCUAGACGGAAAGACCCCGUGAACCUUUACUAUAGCUUUGCACUGGACUUUGAAUUUGCUUGUGUAGGAUAGGUGGGAGGCUUUGAAGCGUGGACGCCAGUUCGCGUGGAGCCAACCUUGAAAUACCACCCUGGCAACUUUGAGGUUCUAACUCAGGUCCGUUAUCCGGAUCGAGGACAGUGUAUGGUGGGUAGUUUGACUGGGGCGGUCUCCUCCUAAAGAGUAACGGAGGAGUACGAAGGUGCGCUCAGACCGGUCGGUAAUCGGUCGUAGAGUAUAAAGGCAAAAGCGCGCUUGACUGCGAGACAGACACGUCGAGCAGGUACGAAAGUAGGUCUUAGUGAUCCGGUGGUUCUGUAUGGAAGGGCCAUCGCUCAACGGAUAAAAGGUACUCCGGGGAUAACAGGCUGAUACCGCCCAAGAGUUCAUAUCGACGGCGGUGUUUGGCACCUCGAUGUCGGCUCAUCACAUCCUGGGGCUGAAGCCGGUCCCAAGGGUAUGGCUGUUCGCCAUUUAAAGUGGUACGCGAGCUGGGUUUAGAACGUCGUGAGACAGUUCGGUCCCUAUCUGCCGUGGACGUUUGAGAUUUGAGAGGGGCUGCUCCUAGUACGAGAGGACCGGAGUGGACGAACCUCUGGUGUUCCGGUUGUCACGCCAGUGGCAUUGCCGGGUAGCUAUGUUCGGAAUAGAUAACCGCUGAAAGCAUCUAAGCGGGAAACUAGCCUCAAGAUGAGAUCUCACUGGGACCUUGAGUCCCCUGAAGGGCCGUCGAAGACUACGACGUUGAUAGGUUGGGUGUGUAAGCGCUGUGAGGCGUUGAGCUAACCAAUACUAAUUGCCCGUGAGGCUUGA
rnacentral:rRNA from 1 species